rfam:Human immunodeficiency virus type 1 partial gag gene, clone GAG-A11
GGCCGGGGGGAAAGAAAAAAUAUAGAUUAAAACAUCUAGUAUGGCCAAGCAGGGAACUAGAACAAUUCGCAGUUAAUUCUGGCU